ensembl:lncRNA
AAUUUACAAAUAAAAAGCUCUAUUAGAGAAGAGGAAGGAACUUUUGGCCAACAAAUUCAAUACAUUAAAUAUCAACCAGUUUUGCAAAGAAAGAAAGUCCUUUCAAAGACCCCCCCCCCUUUGGCUGGCACAGUAAUUGCUAAACCAAUAAUUGGCCAUAGAAAAAGAUGGAAAAAAAGAAAGUUGGGCAGAUUUUCUAUAGUUUUUGCCCCCACUCCGUUAGAACUCGAGGGUGAUGCAUUGAAAAGGCCUUCUGGCGCCACAGGUAAGCUUUCUCAGGUGGCGCAUCAGCCUCGGGGCUCAUGCCAGGCCUCAUGGACAACUGGACAGCCAAUUAGCUUUGCCACCUGGGGGGAGGGGGCGACUCCUCAGGAAUGGGCGGGAAAUUUCCAAGCCUCCAUUUUGUCCAAGCUGAGGCAGAGAAACUGGGGGGCGAAGUCGCGGGGGGCUGGCAGGCGUACCUUUUCGGCUUCUCGGGGCCACGGGCGACCUGUGGGAGCCAAGGACGACCCUGAGGCGAAGAACAGACGAGGAUGCUACAAGAAGACCAAGUUCACCGUGAAGAAGAUCGACACCGUCGUUUUCAACCAUCUCUACUUCAGCAGUUCAAGCACAAUAGACUCAAGUUAUAGAAGAGGCUCUGAAAGUCAGCUAAGAUACACUGAACUUGUUGCGCUUUGGAAGCUGUUCCAAUAAAGAAAUAACGAGAGCAAUCCAGCCAAGCCCGCGUGCCCCCUUUACACUGGUCAUACUUGCAGUUCUAUUCUGAGUUCAACCACAGGAACAGAACAGUAGAUCCUAAUGACCCUGAUUCCAUCCAAGCCCCUUCCUCCCCCACGCCUUCUAAGACCCCUCACUUAACAGCAGUAUUCAGACAUAGCAAAACAGGCAGCUUGAAAGCGCCUCAGAAGCGGCUGCGUGUGGCACUUGUGCUCUCAAGCCUUCUUUAAUCCACCUUUCCUACCCUAGAAUCUUCAUGGAACGGGAGGGACAGACUGGAGUGUGAACAGUCCCAUCUCUGAGUCGUCUCUGAGCUGUGCCACAUAUGUUCUUGCUGUGUGUGAUCACGGAUAUGUUAUUUUUACUUUUGCAGUGAUCUGGCAUGCCAAACUAGCGGGUGUUUAGGUAGGUAGCAGUCCUCUCCAUGCUGAUCUCUUGCGCUUUAAAUAGGUUGCAUGACUUGGGUAUCUGUGCUGCUUGGUGGCACUCUAGACAGGUGGCAAAUGGGGUCUGUGCUAUUUGAGGUGCCUCCAGACAUGAGUAAAACCCUGCUACGUCGCUAUUGCAAAAACCCAACAGUGACACUGGGUUUUCCGUAAUAGCAAUUGCUUACUUCUGUCUGGCAUUUCUUUGUGGGAACCUUCCUCUUGCAAAAUACCUGUAUGUAGGAAGCACGCAAACAAAACAAAGGGAAGUGGACGGGUGAUUCCUGCAUAUGACUAUUUUGUGAGAAGAAUGAUCCUGCAAAGAAACACCAGACAGAGGUAAGAUUGGCUUCUGCCAUCUGGCAGGGGCAUUAAGAGGUAAUUCUGGGAUCUAAAGAAGAUCCCAGAAUUUCCUCCUAACUGGUGGCACUCCAGACAGGUGGCAAAUGGGGGGAGCUAGGUCCUGGCAAUGAUGUCUAUCUAUGCCACUUGAGGUACCUCUAGAUGAAGGUAAAACCUUGCAACAUUCCUGGGACUGCAUUGGGAUUGCCACACAUAUUUGUGGCAAUCCCUACGUAAUUUGGGGUUAGUUUAUUUAUUUAAUUUAAUUGCAUUUUUAUCCCACCCUAUACCUAAAGAUCUCAGGGUGGGUUAGAACAAUAAAACAACAGAUUGUAAAAGGCA